AAGGUCCACACGCUGCAAAUCGCCUCCUUAGUAAAAUGGGUCCAGAGUCUGGUUUGGAAAAGAAGCACACCGGAUGUGUGUGGGUCGAGUUCAAGCUCGGUAAAAUGCCUCAGAGGAGAGCGCAGCUUCAAGAGAGAACAGAAGAAAGCUUGGUGAGGGAAUGACUGUUUAGAGCUACUACAGUUGAUGCUGAAGAUUCAGCAGGGCCGUUGCCAUGGCUACUGCCCGUUCCCUCCUCCAGCUCGUCCAGGUAGAGACGAUAGCGAUGCCCGCUCUCGUCCUCAUACUCCACGUUCUCAUCAUCCGAGUCCACCUCCGGCGCCA